GAUGAACGCUGGCGGCGUGCCUAAUACAUGCAAGUCGAGCGAACAGACGAGGAGCUUGCUCCUCUGACGUUAGCGGCGGACGGGUGAGUAACACGUGGAUAACCUACCUAUAAGACUGGGAUAACUUCGGGAAACCGGAGCUAAUACCGGAUAAUAUAUUGAACCGCAUGGUUCAAUAGUGAAAGACGGUUUUGCUUUCACUUAUACAUGGAUCCGCGCCGCAUUAGCUAGUUGGUAAGGUAACGGCUUACCAAGGCAACGAUGCGUAGCCGACCUGAGAGGGUGCUCGGCCACACUGGAACUGAGACACGGUCCAGACUCCUACGGGAGGCAGCAGUAGGGAAUCUUCCGCAAUGGGCGAAAGCCUGACGGAGCAACGCCGCGUGAGUGAUGAAGGUCUUCGGAUCGUAAAACUCUGUUAUUAGGGAAGAACAAAUGUGUAAGUAACUAUGCACGUCUUGACGGUACCUAAUCAGAAAGCCACGGCUAACUCCGUG
rnacentral:rRNA from 1 species